UUAAUGUUAUUUUGGCAGAUUAGUGCAUUAAAUUUAGAAUUUAAUUAUGUGUAUAUUACAAAUAAUAC
rnacentral:tRNA from 1 species